rnacentral:rRNA from 1 species
CCGGCNGGCNNUUCCAGCGGUUCGAAAGCUCCGGCGGUGCAGGAUGAGCCCGCGGCCUAUCAGCUUGUUGGUGAGGUAAUGGCUCACCAAGGCGACGACGGGUAGCCGGCCUGAGAGGGCGACCGGCCACACUGGGACUGAGACACGGCCCAGACUCCUACGGGAGGCAGCAGUGGGGAAUAUUGCACAAUGGGCGAAAGCCUGAUGCAGCGACCCCGCGUGAGGNAUGACGGCCUUCGGGUUGUAANNCUCUUUCAGCAGGNAAGAAGCGAAAGUGACGGUACCUGCAGAAGAAGCGCCGGCUAACUACGUGCCAGCAGCCGCGGUAAUACGUAGGGCGCGAGCGUUGUCCGNNNUUNUUGGGCGUAAAGAGCUCGUAGGNNGCUUGUCACGUCGGUUGUGAAAGCCCGGGGCUUAACCCCGGGUCUGCAGUCGAUACGGGCAGGCUAGAGUUCGGUAGGGGAGAUCGAAAUUCCNUGGUGUAGCGGUGAAAUGCGCAAAUAUCAGGAGGAACCCNGGUGGCGAAGGCGGAUCUCUGGGCCGAUACUGACGCUGAGGAGCNAAAGCGUGGGGGAGCNAACAGGAUUAGAUACCCUGGUAGNCCACGCCGUAAACGGUGGGCACUAGGGUGUGGGCGACAUUCCACGUCGUCCGUGCCGCAGCUAACGCAUUAAGUGCCCCGCCUGGGGGAGUACGGCCCGCAAGNCUAAAACUCAAAGAAUUUGANGGGGGGCCCCGCACAAGGGGCGGACCUUGUGGUUUAAUUUCGACGCAACGCGAAAGAACCNUACCAGGGCUUGACAUACCCGG